AUUCAUAUAGUUUAAAUAAAACAUUACAUUUUCACUGUAAAAAUAAUAUUAUUAUAUUUAUGAAUA
rnacentral:tRNA from 1 species